rnacentral:rRNA from 1 species
UACGGAGGGGGCUAGCGUUGUUCGGAAUUACUGGGCGUAAAGCGCACGUAGGCGGCUUUGCAAGUUAGAGGUGAAAGCCCGGGGCUCAACCCCGGAAUUGCCUUUAAGACUGCAUCGCUAGAAUUGUGGAGAGGUAAGUGGAAUUCCGAGUGUAGAGGUGAAAUUCGUAGAUAUUCGGAAGAACACCAGUGGCGAAGGCGACUUACUGGACACAUAUUGACGCUGAGGUGCGAAAGCGUGGGGAGCAAACAGG